AACAAGGAUUCCCCUAGUAACGGCGAGUGAAGCGGGAAGAGCUCAAAUUUGAAAUCUGGUGGCCUCAGGUCAUCCGAGUUGUAAUCUAUAGAAGUGUUUUCCGUGCUGGCUCAUGUACAAGUCCCUUGGAACAGGGCGUCAUAGAGGGUGAGAAUCCCGUCCUUGACAUGAACUACCAGUGCUCUGUGAUACAUUUUCAACGAGUCGAGUUGUUUGGGAAUGCAGCUCAAAAUGGGUGGUAAAUUCCAUCUAAAGCUAAAUAUUGGCGAGAGACCGAUAGCGAACAAGUACCGUGAGGGAAAGAUGAAAAGCACUUUGGAAAGAGAGUUAAACAGUAUGUGAAAUUGUUGAAAGGGAAACGAUUGAAGUCAGUCGUGCUCUUUGGAUUCAGCCGGUUCUGCCGGUGUACUUCCUUUGAGUGGGGUCAACAUCAGUUUUGAUCGCUGGAUAAAGGCAGGAGGAACGUAGUACCCUCGGGUAAACUUAUAGCCUCUUGUCACAUACAGUGGUUGGGACUGAGGAACGCAGCACGCCUUUAUGGCCGGGAUUCGUCCACGUACGUGCUUAGGAUGUUGACAUAAUGGCUUUAAACGACCCG
rnacentral:rRNA from 1 species